AAACUAAUUAAAUGGAUAAUAAAUAAAUUAAAAUAUAACUUAUAAACUGUGAGACUGUGAGAUAAAACACAAACCAUUAUCUAAAAAACUGCACUUAUUAUUUUAAAUUCCUUACAUGUUCCCGCUCUGUGGCUUUUGCCCUUUCAUUCUGUUCUCGAUCAAUUAAAAUGUUUCGCAAUGUGCUCAUAACAAAAAUUCUAUAAGCAAUUACAAAUUUUAAUAUUGGUCACAACUACAAAAUACAGUUAAUAGUUUUACAUUGAUAGAAGAGAAUUUUCGUUCAUCCACAGAUUAUUCUAUUGUGUAGAAAUACAGUUAGGUAUAGCAAUUUGCAUUGAUACAUUACUUUCAUUUUACUUUUGUUGCUUUCCUUCUGUUUAGUUUAGAACAGGGAACAUUAAAAUUAUAUUGUUGUAAGAACUGCCAGCAUGUUGGCACCACUUUUCACGCAGUUGUCUGUCAAUGCACUUCAUGUGAAGCGCAUUGUGAAUCGUCAGCGCAUUAUUCGAUUAUCGCUGCGCCGACAUCCAUCAGAUCAGCUAAUUGUUACCACGUGUUUCGUAUUUUUCAAUAAAUUAAAUUAGCGCCUAUUUAUUGUUUUCUUCAUAAAAAAUAUAACUACAGUCCACUAUAUUGAAGAGAUGUGUGCAAACAUCCGAACAUAAUUUUGAUCAUUCGUGCCGGAUUCCAGAGAUGUUGGAGGAUUAUCAAAUUUCAAAUGCUGCAACAAAUCAACCAGAGCUUCUGGAAGCGAUGGUCUUCAUCGUAUGUUGCAAAUUUACAAAGACGGGUCAAAUGGAAAGCGAAAGGUUCAACGCUCAAACUGGGGACAAUGGUUGUUCUGAAGAACGACAACCUUCCUCUUUGCAGAUGGUUAUUAGGAAGAAUAAUCAAGGUGCAUCCAGGACUUGACGGCGAAGUACGAGUAGUGUCUGUUAAAACGCAACACGGUACAUUUAAACGUGCCAUUACUAAAGUGUGUCCGCUUCCAAUGCCUAGUGAACAGUGUACCUUUUAAGAAAAGUUUUGAGCAGUUGCUCAAAAGGGGGGAGUAUGUUUAGUUUAGAACAGGGAAUAUUGAAAUUAUAUUGUUGUAAGAGCUGCCAGCAUGUUGGCACCACUUUUCACGCAGAUGUCUGUCAAUGCACUUCAUGUAAAGCGCAUUGUGAAUUGUCAGCGCAUUAUUCGAUUAUCGCUGCACCGACAUCCAUCAGAUCAGCUAAUUGUUACCACGUGUUUCGUAUUUUUCAAUAAAUAAAGUUAGCGCCUA